GAUGAACGCUGGCGGCGUGCCUAAUACAUGCAAGUCGAGCGAACAGACGAGAGUGCUUGCACUCUCUGACGUUAGCGGCGGACGGGUGAGUAACACGUGGGUAACCUACCUAUAAGACUGGGAUAACUUCGGGAAACCGGAGCUAAUACCGGAUAAUAUUUAGCUUCGCAUGAAGCAAUAGUGAAAGACGGUUCUGCUGUCACUUAUAGAUGGACCCGCGGUGUAUUAGCUAGUUGGUGAGGUAACGGCUCACCAAGGCAACGAUACAUAGCCGACCUGAGAGGGUGAUCGGCCACACUGGGACUGAGACACGGCCCAGACUCCUACGGGAGGCAGCAGUAGGGAAUCUUCCGCAAAGGACGAAAGUCUGACGGAGCAAUGCCGCGUGAGUGAAGAAGGUUUUCGGAUCGUAAAACUCUGUUGUAAGGGAAGAACGAGUACGUUAGUAACUGAACGUACCUUGACGGUACCUUACCAGAAAGCCACGGCUAACUACGUG
rnacentral:rRNA from 1 species